rnacentral:rRNA from 1 species
UGCAGUCGAACGGCAGCACGGGCUUCGGCCUGGUGGCGAGUGGCGAACGGGUGAGUAAUAUAUCAGGAACGUACCCAAGAGUGGGGGAUAACGUAGCGAAAGUUACGCUAAUACCGCAUACGAUCUAAGGAUGAAAGCAGGGGACCGCAAGGCCUUGUGCUCCUGGAGCGGCCGAUAUCUGAUUAGCUUGUUGGUGAGGUAAAGGCUCACCAAGGCGACGAUCAGUAGCUGGUCUGAGAGGACGACCAGCCACACUGGAACUGAGACACGGUCCAGACUCCUACGGGAGGCAGCAGUGGGGAAUUUUGGACAAUGGGCGCAAGCCUGAUCCAGCAAUGCCGCGUGAGUGAAGAAGGCCUUCGGGUUGUAAAGCUCUUUUGUCAGGGAAGAAACGGCAGUGGCUAAUAUCCAUUGCUAAUGACGGUACCUGAAGAAUAAGCACCGGCUAACUACGUGCCAGCAGCCGCGGUAAUACGUAGGGUGCAAGCGUUAAUCGGAAUUACUGGGCGUAAAGCGUGCGCAGGCGGUUUUGUAAGUCUGUCGUGAAAGCCCCGGGCUCAACCUGGGAAUUGCGAUGGAGACUGCAAGGCUUGAAUCUGGCAGAGGGGGGUAGAAUUCCACGUGUAGCAGUGAAAUGCGUAGAGAUGUGGAGGAACACCGAUGGCGAAGGCAGCCCCCUGGGUCAAGAUUGACGCUCAUGCACGAAAGCGUGGGGAGCAAACAGGAUUAGAUACCCUGGUAGUCCACGCCCUAAACGAUGUCUACUAGUUGUCGGGUUUUAAUUAACUUGGUAACGCAGCUAACGCGUGAAGUAGACCGCCUGGGGAGUACGGUCGCAAGAUUAAAACUCAAAGGAAUUGACGGGGACCCGCACAAGCGGUGGAUGAUGUGGAUUAAUUCGAUGCAACGCGAAAAACCUUACCUACCCU